rnacentral:rRNA from 1 species
AUGGGUAGGGCUUCACACGUCAUACAAUGGUCGGUACAGAGGGUUGCCAAGCCGCGAGGUGGAGCCAAUCCCUUAAAGCCGAUCGUAGUCCGGAUCGUAGUCUGCAACUCGACUACGUGAAGUCGGAAUCGCUAGUAAUCGCAGAUCAGCAUGCUGCGGUGAAUACGUUCCCGGGUCUU